GUACAAUAAGCAAAAUAAGGGCGUAUGGGGGAUGCCUUGGCUCUCAGAGGCGAUGAAGGGCGUGAUAAGCUGCGAAAAGCUACGGGGAUCAGCACACAUGACUUGAUCCGUAGAUACCCGAAUGGGGCAACCCACUAUGUUGAAGACAUAGUACACCGAUAGGUGGGCAAACCCGCUGAACUGAAACAUCUAAGUAGGCGGAGGAGAAGAAAACAAAAGUGAUUCCGUAAGUAGUGGCGAGCGAACGCGGAUUAGCCCAAACCAAUGUUGUUACGGCAAUGUUGGGGUUGUAGGACCACGUUAUUUGUUGCGGAUAGAAUUAGAA
rnacentral:rRNA from 1 species